CCUACGGGGUGCAGCAGUGGGGAAUAUUGCGCAAUGGGGGGAACCCUGACGCAGCCAUGCCGCGUGAAUGAAGAAGGCCUUCGGGUUGUAAAGUUCUUUCGGUGAGGAGGAAGGUGAUAAGGUUAAUACCCUUAUUAAUUUACGUUAGGCACAGAAGAAGCACCGGCUAACUCCGUGCCAGCAGCCGCGGUAAUACGGAGGGUGCGAGCGUUAAUCGGAAUAACUGGGCCUAAAGGGCACGCAGGCGGAUUGUUAAGUCAGUGGUGAAAGCCCCGGGCUUAACCUGGGAAUUGCAUUUCAGACUGGGAAUCUAGAGUACUUUCGGGAGGGCUAGAAUUCGAGGUGUAGCGGUGAAAUGCGUAGAGAUCUGGAGGAAUACCGAUGGCGAAGGCAGCCCCUUGGGACUGUACUGACGCUGAUGUGCGAAAGCGUGGGGAGCAAACAGGAUUAGAUACCCCUGUAGUC
rnacentral:rRNA from 1 species